CCCGCUCCCCUGCAUGUCAGGGUCUGUUCAAAUCAAGGUACAUAUCAGAGCCGGGCAGCGGUGCAUCCGGUUAAGCUCAGGACCCGGGCAAGGACACGGGUUCGAGCUCCCCCCGCCCCACCUGCAGGGGGGACACUUCACAAGUGGUGUACAUAAAGAAGUAUGUAACAUUUGUGAAAUGAUAAAGCUACAGAGAUGGGGGAAAGAUUCGUGACUUUUAGGAGCUGGGAUUGGACAGUGACAGGUGACUUUCCCUGGUGAAAAUCUGUCUAUACCCCGUAACUGCUGCUGGGAGCAGGGAGGAGCCGUGAAAUGCGUCUCCACUACAGCUCGUGUCCUGUGAGUGUCAGACCCUUGCCCACCACAUCAGAGUGAGCAGAGUCUGGUGGAGUCUUUCAUCUCUAAUCUGAGAACGGCGCCUCCUCCACCACCCAACAGAAGCUCCUGCCAGCUGAGUCGGUCAACGGAGGAGUGGCAGGAGCUUCUCACCAGGGGCCACUGCUGCUCUUGGCCGCCUCCCCCAGGUUGGCACCUAGGCCCUGCGCCCUGGGCGUCAAUCCUGCCUCCGGGGGCCUAGUUGCAGAUCACGAAAUAUACACCUUGGCCACCCUCAGCGGAAUGGUGUCUCUUAAAGGGUGUCAGGUGAUGCACAGGUACCG